UCCGGCUUUGUUCGUGCUGGCCUGGACAUAGCACUGCGCCUUUCCAUCUGUGACUGCUCCCGCUCACUCCUGCAGCCCUGCUGAGCACUUCCGCUUCUCUUGUGCAUCCUCUUGACAGAAAGGGCUUUCCCUGGGUGUGUUUUGCUACGUUUUGACAAAGGACAGAUAAAAUAUAAUACCACAAACAGGAAAUACUGGGCAUGUAAAAGUAAUGCAUCUUGGUAAUACCACCAUUAGCGUUUUCACUUGCAGCAUUGCAGAAGCAGAGGCUGAAAUACCUCAGCUGGCAUUGGCACUUCUGCCCUGGCUUUGCUGCAGCUUUACCAGACAGGUUCCCAUGGAUGAUGCUGAAUGUAAAAAGACGGAUGAAGAGCUGUCUCAUGAACCCAGUUAUUCUGACAGAGGGAUGUGUUGUAAGAUUCUGUACAAUGAUUUUUCAGGUAAUUUCCCUAAUCUUUUUCUACAGUUAAUCACAUGAGAACUCUCUUCGACACAUUUAGAAUAAGAGGAAACCUGCAUAAUUAAGAUUGUGAAGUCAAAAGCUAAGAAAAAGACAGAAUUUAUGUUGCUGUCACAAAUUAAAUUCUGUUCGGUUGAAGUGGACAAUUUUUUUUUUUUUUAAUUUUUUAUUUUUCCCCCACUUUUGGCAUGUCUUUCAUCCAUGAAAGACUCAGCUUUGUGGAGGCUGGAAGGCUUGAGAACUCACCCAAGCUGAAUAAUUCUAUGUCUGAGGCAACAUCAGAAAGAAAAAAUCAACACAUUUCAUUAAGCAUUUGGAAAUGGAAAUGCUUGUUGGAGCAGGUGGGGUUCAAAGUAGGCACUGCUUCCUAAAUCAGGUGAAGAAAUGAUGGUUUUCUCUUCCGGUGUUCUAGUGUGUAGAAAAGCCAUGGUCCAAAAUGCUGUUAGGGUCCAGGAAUGAGGAACUGGCCAUACCAGGAGUCUAAGGAAGCCACAGUGUGAGGUGACUUUCUGGUGGUUUUAUAGUUCCCAUCAGGAAAACAGAAGCUCCUCUCCCACUUGGAGAAUUGUGUAGAAGUCUCCUUGUGAAGGUAGACCUGAAUUUGUACUGAUUCACCUUUCAGCAAGGAAAAUGCCUGGAAACAAAUAAUAUAACCUCUGAUUUAGGAAAAAUAUUUCAAAUAAUCUAAACCUUUUUAAACUCUUCUUGUUAAACACCCCAUUCUUUCCUAAUUAAUAUUUUAAUAUUCAAGAAUGUAUUCAAACUGAAGCUUUCAGGACCUGUGCUGUUGGUGUUUUGAUUUUCGUUUUGUUUUGUUUUUGUUUUUGUUUUUGGUUUUUUGUUUGUAGAAUCUUUUCCUCAUUGCUAGGAAAAUGUGGUGGAUAGCCAAACAAGAGAAUGUGAAUCCUCAUGGGGCAAGGAACAAAUAUCUCCCCAGCCUAAGCAGACAGAAGACAAAAACUGAGGAGAAUCUCCAAGGGUCUGUCCUUAAAUGUCCCCUUUGAAUAGAGCCAAGCUCCCUGGAAACAGCUCGAAAGAAUGUAAAAAAUUAUAAAUAUGGUAAAGACAGGACAUACAGGUAUGGGCUAAAUCCUAAGCCUGACUUUGGUGAUGUAAGGAUGUCCAGUGCUGCCCUUUUGAUAGCAGGCAGAGGUGCACAUCAACCUUGUUUAGGUUCCCAUGCACACUGUAAGCAAAAGCAGGUCUCUUGUUUACUUGAGCAUUAUGUUUGUUACCCCUUCCCAUAAGAAUGGGAAUAAGAAUUGAUGUCUCCCAGCUUGGGAAAAUGCUCCUCUCCUUUGUACAAGUCUUGAUACCUUUACACCUUCAAGGGCUCUGGCCAGUGUGCUCUCCUCAUCUUCUGUGUGCACAGAGCCCCUUCAGGAGGACAGCUGUGCUUGAAGUAACCACGCUCUGGAAGCACAGCCCCUCCUCUCACUGCACUGCACUGCCCUGGGAGGGGAGAUGGGCCCAUUGCAGACCCUGGAUUCUCCUUUUAAUUCCUCCAGUCUGAGCAGGGAAAGGGAGAUGGACUUCUAUGGAGAUCUUCCUUAUUGCCAAAAAUGAUCUGACAGAGUGUGUGUAUAUUAAUGUCGCUGCCCCCUCGGCCCUUCACGCCUUGGCUAUCACAGCUUGUGCCAAACGUCAGCGGCAGGAGUGGGGAACCAGGUGAGCACUGUGUGGCUCGACCUGGAACCUCUAGAGCUCCUCCGGGC